rnacentral:rRNA from 1 species
CACCGCGGUUAUACGAGAGGCCCAAGUUGAUAGACCUUCGGCGUAAAGUGUGGUUAGAACAACAAGGAACUAAAGCCAAACGCUCUCAAAACUGUUAUACGCGCUUGAGAGUCAGAAGCCCCACCACGAAAGUGGCUUUACAUCAUUGAACCCACGAAAGCUAAGACA